ensembl:lncRNA
AUCAAACUUGGAUCCUUCUGCUUGCAAGGCAGGCAGCGGAACCACUGAGCUAAAUCCCCGGCCCAUGUAUACCAUUUUAUUAAAAAUACACAAAACUGCCUUGCAGUCCAUGUUUCAUUUGACUGACCAGAUGAAGAAAAAUAUUAGCCACCAAUACAGAGGUUGUAAGUAUAAAAUACUACUUUUAAAAAUAUUGUCCAUAUUAGGAAAAUAAAUUUUAUGAAAAGAUGUGAUCUACCUAUCUGUCUAGCUAUUUUAUUGUGGUGCUAGGGAUUGGACAUAAGGCCUGUGCAUCUAGGCAAGCGCUCUACCAUUGAGCUACUCUGCUUCUUUCAUGUUUUAUGUUCUUUUAUUGUGAAAUAGAGUCUUGCUAAUUUGCCCAGGCUGGCCUUGAAUUUGGAUUUUCCUGACUCAGCCUCCUGAGUAGCUGGUUGGUAUUACAGGCCUACACCACCACGCCCAGCUUGAGACAUGAAGUUUUCUAAAAAGCUUUUUCACAGGAUCAUAUUAACUCCUGGAACAGCUGCCAAUCUUGUGUCAAUAUUUUAAAUACACUUACAACCAUCUUAACUGUUAAAAAAAUUCUCCUUUCCCCCCAAAGGGGUAGCUGAUAUCUCUUUUGAUGCUUUGAUCCUUUUACUCCCCUAUUGGUGAAAUAGCCAAAUAGGCAAUUUUGACAGAGGAAAAAAUAAUUUCUUUGACUAUUAGGAGUAAGAACAAAUCUCAUUUGUCUGAUGGUGAAGACAAAUGUGAAAUAAAUAACAAAAGUAAGAGAGUGUGAGAUACUUAAAAUCCAUAGAUAAUUUUAGCGAAUAUUUGAGUGAUAAAUUCAUUCCAUGCUUAUUUCUAGAGUCCCCCCUCCCACUUUUGAUGGCUUCAGAAACUUUUAAACCUAGAAUUUGGACUUCAGAGUUGUCAGAUCAAGAUUGGUGAAAGCAAGGAAUAAAUACCAGUGGUGGCAAAGCUAUGGCACGUGUGGUAUUUGUUUUUCUUUGAAGAUAAAAGAUGUUAAUGUAUGAGUUGAUUUUUCUAAAAUAAAACCUCAAUAUUCAGGUUUAAUAGCAGUGUUGGCAUUUUGUGAUAAAUAAGUGGGUUUUGGGUUGCAGUUUGAUCACUUGUCUCUAAAAGUUUCCCAUCACUGGCUAGAGAUUAGCUUGAAUGUAUCAAUUAAAUUUAAGUACAGAGAACAAAUACUUUACUUGGUUGGAGAUUAUAAAGUAAAGAUUGUGGCACAAUCCCUGUUGUCAAGUAGUUUUCCCUGAAGUAAUGAGAACCAGAAAUACACAAUAUUAUUGAGACUUGACUUGAGGGGAAAACACUGACAUAAAUAUGUGCUUUAGGCCAGAUUGGAGGAAUCUCUAUUUCCUAGAAUAGCUGAGCCCUGGGUUUGAUUGAAGUAGGGAUGAUGGAAAGAGUGGGGUGAGAAUGCACAGGAGAUGUGUGGGGUGCGGAGUGACAGAUGAGACACUUGUGGAGAGUGAGCAUUCCUAGGUAGAGGAGAGGGUGAGUACAGACUGGGAAACAGAUUUCUCUAAAUCUACUGGCUUUGUGUUUUCAAUCAAAAACUAGGUACUGCGAAUGCUUUUAUUACAGUUGAAUAAUUUGUAGAAUUGAGCAUUAUGUAUUACUUUUUUUGUAUUUUUGGGUUUUUUUGGUACCGGGGAUUGAACUCGGGUCCUUGCGCUUGCACAGCAGGUGGCGCAACCACUGAGCUAAAUCCCCGACCCUAUGUAUUACUUUUUAAACAAUCUUUUCUUUUUUUAACUUAAAAUAAAAAAAUCCCUUAUUCAUAGAUGAUAUUAAAGUUUUAUAUUUUAAGCAUAAUUUUUUUUGGUGUUGUACCAGGGAUUGAACUCAGAACCUCACACACGCUGGACAACCUCUGUAGCACUGAACUACAUCCUCAUGCCUUCAGUUACGACAUUUUGUGUAGCUUAUUAUUUAGUUGUGAUGAUUUCCUAUAGACAGUAUUUUAUGUGUAUUAAUACUGUUUAAAAAUACCUACAAAUCAAAAUGCUGACUCUUUAUUUGUUUUAGAUUGAGAUAUAACUACAGAGUAGUGCGAUGUCAGAAACCAAACUGCCGGAAUUAUUAUAAUUAAUGUGCAGAAGAUAGUCUCUUCAAACAAUUAUCUUGGAAAACUGUGCACUUAUUCCAGUAAUGAGGAUAUUCGUGAAAUGUUUUUGAAACUUCUCACUUGAAUUGUCUUAAUAACCAGUGUUAUUCUUUGCCAGAACCAACACAAACUAUUUCUGUCACUUCACAAUUAAGCUUGGCUCAAAAUAUAUUUUGACUUAUCAUGAAAUGAAAUCGGGCCAGAGAUUUAGCUCAGUGGUUCCACUGCCUGCCUCGCAAGCACAAGGUCCCGAGUUUGAACCCCUGUACCAAAAAAAAGAAAAAUAAAGAAAUCGACUUCCAAAAGAUAGUUGUAUGCUGUUAAAUACAGCAUUAAAAAAAUAUUACAGCAUGGGCCGGGGAUUUAGCUCAGUGGUUUCGCUGCCUGCUGCGCAAUCGCAAGGACCAGAGUUCAAUCCCCCGUACCAAAAAAAAAAAAAAAAAAAAAAAGAUAUACAGCAUAAAACUCAUUGGUAUCAUCCCAAAUUAGUUAUUAAUGAAUACAAGCAUCAGCUAGUGUGACUAUCAAAAUUUGGAACACUUGUUUACGGAAUUACCACAGCAUGUUUGCUUAUUGAAAGAGGACCUUGGGUCUUAAUUGCAUAGUUAAUCGUUUCAGUUCUGGGAGAUAGAAUGUCUACUUUAAAAGCCCAGUGUCAGCCCUUCUGAACUUAGGGGUUUAGAGAGAAAACCACUUCACCUUCUUGAAACAGUUCCCUCCUCUCCAAAUUGGGAAUAAUAGGUAUUUUUCUUGUAUGUUCUUGUGAAGACUAAUGACUUACUGCCUGUUAGGUGCUUAGGAUGGUGUCUUGCACAUGGAAAAUGUAGUGUUGACAGUAACUGAGGUGAUACUGAUUACUCAUUGUAUUUUCCUUCAUGAGCAAAUUUCAUAGCAAAUAACUUUUUCCCCCACAUUUUCUUUGAACAUAGUUUUGACAGAAACUGUUUCUAGGAAAUAUCAUUAUAUGACUUAAUUUGUCAUUUCUUUGAUUAAUUGUUUAGAGUCUUACACUUCUGUAAUAAAUACUGAUUGGUUAGAUAUUUGUAUAGUUCAGAUUUCAGGUGGCAUCAGGAAGUGUCUGAUAAGUGAGUUGUUGAUUGGUUUUAGGUUAGCACAUUUGUAGCACAGUUUUCUCUCAGGGUUUUAAAGUGUUUCUAUGUUCUUAAACAUGAAUUUUAUGAAUGGUUUUAUAAACUAGUAUACUUUGAUUCUUAUAUUUUAUUUCAUAAUACUUAGUGGUUACAUAAAACAUGAGUUUCAUGGAAAGAUAUAUUAACUGCACACCAAUUGUGGUUUAAAGAUGUGCAUUUAUAUACAGCAUAGAGCUUGUCCUUUUCACAAGGCAUGACGCUCAGUAUUACCAGAGGAUAGCUGUGUGAACAUGUUCAUUGUCUGACUGGGCAGCAGGUGUGACUGCUGUGCACAGAUGUGAUAGAUACUCCAGGUAAACGAGUGAUACAAUGUUGUUUGUGGAUCAGCUGCUGAUACUGUAGAAUAUGUGUGUAGUAGCCCUCCUGCCUUGUUCUUCUGCUGCAUCCAAAGAGGUAAAGACUUUAUUGUGUGCAUUGGUUUUUCCCUUCAGGUAAUUGAUUCAAUCUUUGUUUCUCAUUUUGUAGUGAAAUGGCACUUGAUUUUAAUCCAGUAGUUGUACAGUUCUCCAGGGAAUACCCGUGGACUAUUUUAGGUGAAAUUCUCUCCAUGUGCCUCAAGUCAUGAGGGUUCUAGCUUGUUUGCUUGUAUUUUUUGAGUGAACUGAUUAAAUACUUUAGAUUCCUCAGGUUAUGCUACUGAAAAGCAAGCUCCUGAAUAGUGACCAGCAGUGAGAUUUAAAAAUUUUUUUUGUUUUGGGCCGGGGAUUUAUGUCUGUGGUUCUGCUGCCUGCCUCGUAAGCACAAAGACCCGAGUUCGAUUCUUGGUACCUCAAGAAAAAAUUUUUUUUUUGUUUUAAAUUAUGCCUGAGCUUUUCUAUUUUUGUUCAGUGUCGCAGAGUAAUUAUGUGUGAUUCUUUGUACCUUUUCAUGCCAGUCACUUCUAUCUCAUGCUUAGUGUUGCUAUAAUUUUCAUUUUAGAAGAAAUUGAUUAUGUGUGUGAUUCCUGUGUGUGUGUGGGUG